UUCUGUUGAAUCAGAAAUGGUAUAUUCGUAAUUCGUACCAUUAGUGGAUGAGAUCGAAUUACAGUUCCAGUUACUAAUUUUUUACACCGGCAACUCUGAUACCACGCUGACAUGGCACAAGAAAGACGACGUGGCGAAAUAUAAUUGGCUUCAAUUACGUAUCCUCCACAGUUGAAACUACCAAUCGCCACACGUUAACACACGGUGGUUCUCUCCGCUUUUGCUUCUAUUAAAGGAGGUAACUUCCUCAUUAGAAAAAAAUCAAUCAAAACAGAUUAAAAUUAAAAAUCAAAAGAAAACUAAUCUCGAAGAAAUGGCGAAUCGAUCCAGGGUUAUCACCAUGUCUCCUCUCGUUCUCAACCACGAAGACGAUCUCGAUCUCGAUCUCGACCUCUGGGAAGUUGUUAACCCCUCCGACGGCGAGUACUCCGACGAUUCCUUCUCCGUCGACAGUCUCUCCGACGAUGACGUCAUAUCUCUUGACG
rnacentral:lncRNA from 1 species